rnacentral:sRNA from 1 species
GCCAGGUGCAGUGGCGCCCGCCUAUAAUCCCAGCAGCUCAGGAGGCUGAGGCAGGAGGAUCAUGAGUUCAAAGCCAGCCUCAGCAACUUAGGCCCUCAGCAACUCAGUGAGACCCUGUCUCUA